rnacentral:rRNA from 1 species
GGCCAGACUCCUACGGGAGGCAGCAGUGAGGGAUAUUGGUCAAUGGGGGAAACCCUGAACCAGCAACGCCGCGUGAGGGAAGACGGUUUUCGGAUUGUAAACCUCUGUCCUCUGUGAAGAUAAUGACGGCAGCAGAGGAGGAAGCUCCGGCUAACUACGUGCCAGCAGCCGCGGUAAUACGUAGGGAGCGAGCGUUGUCCGGAUUUACUGGGUGUAAAGGGUGCGUAGGCGGCCCUGCAAGUCAGAAGUGAAAUCCAGGGGCUUAACCCGUGAACUGCUUUUGAAACUGCAGGACUUGAGUGGAGUAGAGGUAGGCGGAAUUCCUAGUGUAGCGGUGAAAUGCGUAAAUAUUAGGAGGAACACCAGUGGCGAAGGCGGCCUGCUGGGCUUUAACUGACGCUGAGGCUCGAAAGCGUGGGGAGCAAACAGGAUUAGAUACCCCGGUAC